GCCCCUGUGGCGGAAUUGGUAGACGCACUCGACUCAAAAUCGAGCGCCGCAAGGCAUGCCGGUUCGACUCCGGCCGGGGGCACCA
rnacentral:tRNA from 1 species